GAUGAACGCUGGCGGCGUGCUUAACACAUGCAAGUCGAACGGUGAAGCUCCAGCUUGCUGGAGUGGAUCAGUGGCGAACGGGUGAGUAACACGUGAGCAACCUGCCCCUGACUCUGGGAUAACAGCCGGAAACGGCAGCUAAUACCGGAUAUGCACCAUGAACGCAUUUUCUGUGGAGGGAAAGAUUUUUCGGUUGGGGAUGGGCUCGCGGCCUAUCAGCUUGUUGGUGGGGUAAUGGCUCACCAAGGCGUCGACGGGUAGCCGGCCUGAGUGGGUGACCGGCCAGACUGGGACUGAGACACGGACCAGACUCCUACGGGAGGCAGCAGGGGGGAAUAUUGCACAAUGGGCGAAAGCAUGAUGCAGCAACGCCGCGUGAGGGAUGACGGCCUUCGGGUUGUAAACCUCUUUUAGCAGGGAAGAAGCGAGAGUGACGGUACCUGCAGAAAAAGCGCCGGCUAACUACGUG
rnacentral:rRNA from 1 species